UACGGGGGGGGCAAGCGUUGUUCGGAAUUACUGGGCGUAAAGGGCUCGUAGGUGGCCAACUAAGUCAGACGUGAAAUCCCUCGGCUUAACCGGGGAACUGCGUCUGAUACUGGAUGGCUAGAGUUUGGGAGAGGGAUGCGGAAUUCCAGGUGUAGCGGUGAAGUGCGUAGAUAUCUGGAGGAACACCGGUGGCGAAGGCGGCAUCCUGGACCAACACUGACGCUGAGGAGCGAAAGCCAGGGGAGCGAACGGG
rnacentral:rRNA from 1 species